rnacentral:lncRNA from 10 species
UGGCUCACUGCAGCCUCGAUCUCCCUGGACUCAAGCGAUCCUCCCACCUCAGCCCCCCAAGUAGCUGGGACCACAGGUGUGUGCCACCACACCCAGCUAAUUUUUGCAUUUUUUGUAGAGACAGGGUUUUGCCAUGUUUCCCAGGCUUGUCUCAAACUCCUGAGCUCAAGCAAUCCCCCCACCUCGGCCUCCCAAAGUGCUGGGACUAAAGGUGUGAGCCACUGCGCGUGGCCAAUAACUCUUUAACUAUGAAAUAAGUUGCACAUCUUUUACCCAAUUUUUCAUUUGUCUUUUUUCAUUGCUUAACCACAUGGACUUUUCCGUCAAAAUACAAUUUAAAUCUUGAUUUUGUCCCAUUGUAUUUGAGUGACCUGGAUCAGGUGGUCAUUUAACUUUUCAGAGCCUCUUUUUUUUUAUUGGUAGAAUGAGGUUAAUAAUUGCUCUUUUUGCCUUAAACUUUUGCUAUAAGGACUAAAUGGUGCUUGUUGAAAUGCUUUGUAAUGUGUUAUUCAAAUUUAAGUCAUUUCAAAGUGAUACUUAACACAUCUAAUACUAUAAUUUAUACAGAUAAGAGAAAGCUGCUUUCUCUUUUCUCUCUUGCUCUCUGCUUAGAGGUAAUCUACAUGUAAUAUAAUAGUGGUCUCCUAGAAUCAGUAAAUGAACUUUGUCUACAGAGGUAAUUAACAUAGAAUGAAGCGGGAAAAUAGUGCCUUUGAUUACAAAUUAGUAAAAAAGUAGUAGGCAAGUUUUAGAGCCAACAAACUGCUAACAUGGCAGGCUUCAUCACUAUUUUUCUUUCAAAUUAUAGUCAGAAAUUGUUGAUCAUUUGAUUAUGUGAAAUCAAGCACUGCUUAAACCUAUAGAGUAGAGAAAGAGCCCUGUACUGGUCCAAAGGUAAUGAUUAACCUCAAUAGAUUGUUCACAGUCAGUUACAGAUUCAGCUCCUUGUUCUACUCUUUACCCCCUUCUCACUAUUGUGCUUGACUAGUCAAAAGAAAGAAAGAAAGAAGGAAAGAAAGAAAGAAAGAAAGAAAGAAAGAAAGAAAGAAAGAAAGAAAGAAAGAAAGAAAGAAAGAAAGAAAGGGAGGGAGGGAGGGAGGGAGGAAAGAAGGAAGGAAGGAAGGAAGGAAGGAAGGAAGGAAGGAAGGAAGGAAGGAAGGAAGGAAAGAAGGAAAGAAAGAAAGAGAGAAAGAGCCCUGGACUGGGUGAGAAAGAGAUUUUGAGACUAUAUAAAAUAAAAAACACAACUCCUGUCCUCAUUUUGCAUAAAGUCUGGUUGAAUGAUCUAAUAUAUACACCCUUAUAAACAGCUAAGAUCUUCUUCAUUCGAUGUCAGUUAGAAUUGUUGGUUACUAGAACAGAAGUUAAUUUUGGCUAAUUUAAGCAGACUGAAAGGAAACUGGAUAAUCCACAGAACUGACAGAAAACAUGAGCUAAUGGAGGCAGCAGGAACCACAGUCAAGGUCUUGCCUCAGAGCCUUCUUAGGGCAUUGCCAUGGACACAACACCAGUAGAUACUGGCCUCUGUUCUUGGUUGCCAUGAGGUAGGGAGCAGACGGAUCCUCCCCACACCAGCUUUGGCUUCUAUAGAGGAGGACAGAACACCUUAUCCCCUGCAACACCACACAUAGUGAGAAAUCACUCCAAAAUAACAGAGUUGAAUGUCAAGUGUCACCCAAAACGUGUCUAAUACACACCUCAAACUUAACUGACCCAAACAGAACUUUUGCUUUCUUCAUCUAAGCCUGCUUCUUCCUCAGUUCAUUCUACAUUGUGUGUGUGUGUGUGAUAGUGGCACUUGGAUUUCACUCAAAUGAACUAUUUCCAUACCCUUCUUGAUAGCAUUUUUAAAUACUAUCCUUCCAAAUCUGUAGUGACUCUUUUCUAAGUGAAAUUGGGACAGAUGAUCUGUUACAAUAGCUACAAUUUUAUUUUAUU